GCGGAUGUGGCGGAAUUGGCAGACGCGCUAGAUUCAGGUUCUAGUGGGCAUUACGCCCGUGCAGGUUCAAGUCCUGUCAUCCGCACCA
rnacentral:tRNA from 1 species